CUACGGGAGGCUCCAGUAGGGAAUAUUGGUCAAUGGGCGCAAGCCUGAACCAGCCAUGCCGCGUGCAGGAUGAAGGUCAUUUGAUUGUAAACUGCUUUUAUACAGGAGUAAAAAAUCCCUGCGGGGGUUCUUGAUAGUACUGUAAGAAUAAGCACCGGCUAACUCCGUGCCAGCAGCCGCGGUAAGACGGAGGGUGCAAGCGUUAUCCGGAUUUACUGGGUUUAAAGGGUACGUAGGCGGUUUUGUAAGUCAGUGGUGAAAACUAGCAGCUCAACUGUUAGCGCGCUGCUGAUACUGCAAGACUCGAGUAUAGUCGAGGUGGGUGGAAUUCUACAUGUAGCGGUGAAAUGCGUAGAUAUGUAGAGGAACUCCAAUAACGAAGGUAGCUCAUUAGGCUAUUACUGACGCUGAGGUACGAAAGCGUGGGGAGCAAACAGGAUUAGAUACCCCAGUAGUC
rnacentral:rRNA from 1 species